CCUACGGGAGGCAGCAGUGAGGAAUAUUGGUCAUUGGACGAGAGUCUGAACCAGCCAAGUAGCGUGAAGGAUGACUGCCCUAUGGGUUGUAAACUUCUUUUAUAUGGGAAUAAAAUGUUCCACGUGUGGGAUUUUGUAUGUACCAUAUGAAUAAGGAUCGGCUAACUCCGUACCAGCAGCCGCGGUAAUACGGAGGUUCCGAGCGUUAACCGGAUUUAUUGGGUUUAACGGGAGCGUAGGUGGAUUGUUAAGUCAGUUGUGAAAGUUUGCGGCUCAACCGUAAAAUUGCAGUUGAAACUGGAAGUCUUGAGUACAGGAGAGGUGGGCGGAAUUCGUGGUGUAGCGGUGAAAUGCUUAGAUAUCACGAAGAACUCCGAUUGCGAAGGCAGUUCACUGGACUGCAACUGACACUGAGGCUCGAAAGUGUGGGUAUCAAACAGGAUUAGAUACCCUAGUAGUC
rnacentral:rRNA from 1 species